AGGACGAACGCUGGCGGCGUGCUUAACACAUGCAAGUCGAGCGGUAAGGCCUUUCGGGGUACACGAGCGGCGAACGGGUGAGUAACACGUGGGUGAUCUGCCCUGCACUUCGGGAUAAGCCUGGGAAACUGGGUCUAAUACCGGAUAUGACCUCAGGUUGCAUGACUUGGGGUGGAAAGAUUUAUCGGUGCAGGAUGGGCCCGCGGCCUAUCAGCUUGUUGGUGGGUAAUGGCCUACCAAGGCGACGACGGGUAGCCGACCUGAGAGGGUGACCGGCCACACUGGGACUGAGACACGGCCCAGACUCCUACGGGAGGCAGGCAGUGGGGAAUAUUGCACAAUGGGCGAAAGCCUGAUGCAGCGACGCCGCGUGAGGGAUGACGGCCUUCGGGUUGUAAACCUCUUUCAGUCGAGGACGAAGCGCAAGUGACGGUACUGCAGAAGAGCACGCUAACACGUGCCAGCAGCCGC
rnacentral:rRNA from 1 species